GGUUUGUCAUCCUGCCAAUAUAAGCCUUUCCACCUCCACAUUCAGAUGGCACUGCAUUGAAUAGCUUCAACGCCGCUCCUCUACCACAGAGCAACGUAAGGCACGGACGCCGAAAGUGCCGUCUCGUUCAGCUAGACCAAAGUGUUCCACGAAAAGGAGUUGUGCCUACGGUAUUGGCCCCUUCACUUUUGUGACCCGCUUGGCCAAUGGAGAAUUUAAUUCGAUCGCACCAACAAAUGCUGGAGCUCCUUCCGGAAAAUUGUACCGGAAACUGCGAGGAACGGACAUGCAACAGCGGAGCCGAAGACAUCUACGAAAGUCAAAAGGCUACCAUGCAAGCACCAAUGCAAGCACCGAUACAGGAUGGCAUUGUGCACUCUCCCUACAAGCAAUCCGAGACAGUGCUGUUGUCAUUUGCUGAAUACCUCACAGAAAAACUUCAACCUCACGGAAACAGAAUUGCACUGGAGAGGUUCAAGAGAACAUGAAAAACUGUGACGCUACACAUGUGGUGUCUGAUCUUCGCCAUUCCGUCAAGUUCAGUCCUAGAGGCCAA